AUGGGUGUCCGAUCUGAGAUCCAGUUGGUUGAGUCUGGAGGGGAUGUGAGAAAACCUGGAGGGUCCCUCCGUCUCACCUGCCAAGCCUCUGGAUUCACCUUCAGCAGCUAUGGAAUGCACUGGGUGAGACAGUCUCCAGGGAAAGGCCUGGAAUGGGUAGCCUAUAUAAGUACAGACUCAUCUCCCAUUCACUACUCAGACACAGUGAAGGGCCGCUUCACCAUCUCCAGGGACGAUGCCAAAAGCCAGAUUUAUCUGCAAAUGAACAGCCUCAAAGCUGAAGACACAGCAGUCUAUUACUGUGCUAGAUACACAUUCUUGUGUACAGGAGAGCUCACUGAAAGUCCUUUCAUUUUAGGUGUCCGGUCUGAGGUCCUGUUGGUGGAGUCUGGAGGGGACGUGAGAAGACCUGGAGGGUCCCUCAGUCUCACCUGCCAAGCCUCUGGAUUCACCUUCAGCAGCUCUGCUAUGAACUGG